CCUACGGGAGGCAGCAGUGGGGAAUAUUGGGCAAUGGGCGCAAGCCUGACCCAGCAACGCCGCGUGAAGGAAGAAGGCUUUCGGGUUGUAAACUUCUUUUGUCAGGGACGAAGCAAGUGACGGUACCUGACGGAUAAGCCACGGCUAACUACGUGCCAGCAGCCGCGGUAAUACGUAGGUGGCAAGCGUUAUCCGGAUUUACUGGGUGUAAAGGGCGUGUAGGCGGGACUGCAAGCCAGAUGUGAAAACCACGGGCUCAACCUGUGGCCUGCAUUUGAAACUGUGGUUCUUGAGUACUGGAGAGGCAGACGGAAUUCCUAGUGUAGCGGUGAAAUGCGUAGAUAUUAGGAGGAACACCGGUGGCGAAGGCGGUCUGCUGGACAGCAACUGACGCUGAGGCGCGAAAGCGUGGGGAGCAAACAGGAUUAGAUACCCCUGUAGUC
rnacentral:rRNA from 1 species